GAUGAACGCUGGCGGCGUGCCUAACACAUGCAAGUCGAACGAAAAGACGAGAGUGCUUGCUUUUUCUGUAGUUAGCGGCGGAUGGGUGAGACACACGUAGGCAACCUACCUAUGAGACAGGGCUAACUUCGGGAAACCGGAGCUAAUCACGGCUAAUAUUUACCUUCGCAUGAGGUAAUAGUGAAAGACGCUCCUGCUGUCACUCACAGAUGUACUUACCUUGUAGUAGCUAGUUGGUCUGGUAACGGCUAACCAAGGCAACGAUACAUAGCCGACCUGAGACGAUGAUCAGCCACACUGCGACGGAGACACUGCGCAGCCUCCGACGGGAGGCACCACCCGGGAAUCUUCCGCAAGGGGCGGUAGUGUAACGUAGCAAUUGCGCGUGAGUCAAGAGGGUUUACGGAGCGUAAAACUCUGUUGUAAGGGGAGAACAAGUACCUGAGUAACGGAACGUACCAAGACGGUACCUGACCAGAAAGCCCCGGCUAACUACGUG
rnacentral:rRNA from 1 species